rnacentral:rRNA from 1 species
AUGGGCAGCGAUCUAACACACACGAGAAAAAGAAUGAGGCGUUACUACCACGGACCAGUCAUUAAGAAAACGAGAGCAAAGGUUCAGUUUGCAGACCUUCCCGAUGAUCUGCUGUCUACGAUUCUAUCAAAAUUGCCACUGAAGGAAGCUGCAAGAACCGUCAUUCUGUCAAGUAAAUGGAACGACGUGUGGAGAGUUUGCCCCAAACUGAGAUUUGAUGGCUUCACAGUGUGCAGUGACAGCGUGUUUGGGGGAGAACAGUACACUCAGAAAUUCAUUGACAAUGUUAAUGCAGUCAUGCAGAAGCAUCAGUGCAUGGUCGUUGAAGAGCUCGUGAUCAAAUUUGGGUUUGACAGCAGGGUACUGGGUCAUAUCAACACGUGGGUUGCUUUUGCCGUUUCAUCACGGAUGGAGAGCCUUGCCCUUGAUUUAGUGCCAGCCAACUCCCCGGGCCGUACUGAUCAGUACAGAUUUCCGGUUGAGCUGUUGGACGAUGGAAGCAUAUUUCGGCUUCGUCAUCUUCAACUUAGCUUCGCAAGUCUUGAACUACCCCCUCAAUUCAGUGGUUUCCCUAAUCUGAGAACACUUGAUUUGCACUUGCUACAAGUCACUCGAAAUGAUCUUCAAGAUAUGCUGUCAAAUUGCAUCAAUCUUGAGUGGUUCAGUAUGGUUAGAUGCCAUUUGAAUGAUGAACUGACGGUAGCACGUCCGUUGUCAAACCUGAGAUACCUGCGUGUUGCACACUGCAAGAUAACCAGGAUAGUACUCCAUGCAGUGGAACUCAAAACUUUCUUGUUCUAUGGGCGUCUGUAUCCUAUUGACCUUGGGCAUACUCCCAAACUGAAGCAUACAUUUCUUAAUAUCUAUUCCCUGUUAACUGUUGAGCAUGCUUUGACUGUGCUUCCCAAAGUGCUUCCAAGUGUUCAAGAUCUGACAUUGCAUGCUCAUUUUACACUUAAGAUGCCUUUGUUGAUGGAAAAUCCAUGCAAAUUUUCCCAGUUGAAAUAUUUACAUUUGAAGCUGUCAAUUGGUCAUAGGGAAGCUGGCAAGAUUCUAUCUUUGGCCUCUUUUCUGAGGGCUGCUCCUUCUGUUGAAAAGUUAGAAAUGCAUUUUAGUGUUUUGGCAUUCGCACAUUGUGUCUCGGAGCCUAUCAAGAGCCUUCCAUGGUGUCCACAUAGUUAUCUGAAGAACCUGUGUAUUACAGGAUUUUCUGGAACAACAGGACAACUUGAAUUUCUGGUGCAUGUUGUUGAAAAUGCCCCUGCUCUGAAGAUAUUGACGAUUAAAGGAGCUGACUCGAGUGGCCGUGAUCUCGAUAAUGAAGGGAAAAGAAGAUUUACUUUGAAGUUUCGCGAAUUGGAGAGGAAAUACCUUCAUGGGAUAAUUUCACCAAAUGUGGAGCUCCGUAUUAUUUAA